GAUGAACGCUGGCGGCGUGCCUAAUACAUGCAAGUCGAGCGAACAGACGAGGAGCUUGCUCCUCUGACGUUAGCGGCGGACGGGUGAGUAACACGUGGAUAACCUACCUAUAAGACUGGGAUAACUUCGGGAAACCGGAGCUAAUACCGGAUAAUAUAUUGAACCGCAUGGUUCAAUAGUGAAAGACGGUUUUGCUGUCACUUAUAGAUGGAUCCGCGCCGCAUUAGCUAGUUGGUAAGGUAACGGCUUACCAAGGCGACGAUGCGUAGCCGACCUGAGAGGGUGAUCGGACACACUGGAACUGAGACACGGUCCAGACUCCUACGGGAGGCAGCAGUAGGGAAUCGUCCGCAAUGGGCGAAAGCCUGACGGAGCAACGCCGCGUGAGUGAUGAAGGUCUUCGGAUCGUAAAACUCUGUUAUUAGGGAAGAACAAAUGUGUAAGUAACUAUGCACGUCUUGACGGUACCUAAUCAGAAAGCCACGGCUAACUACGUG
rnacentral:rRNA from 1 species